rnacentral:RNase_P_RNA from 1 species
AAAGCAAAUUGGGCAAUAGCCCCCGACAAGUCGGGGGAGGAAAGUCCGGACAUUCAAUCCCGAGCAAUCGGGAUAAGGGUAAUGGGUAACGCCCAUACGGAGUAAUCCGCGAGGUGCGAGCAGAGACGUCUAAAAUUGAAAAAUUUUAGAAAUCCUUCGGGAUUAGUCCUGAUAGAAAUAUCGGGAGUGAAACGGCUAAAUCCUUACCUGAAUGCAAGGCCGUACGCUACUGCUUCGCAGUGGCGGGUGCCGCUUGACCCCGAUGGCAACAUCGGGGCUAGAUAAAUUAUUGCCGAACACAGAAUCCGGCUUAUAGAUUUGCUUUGAUA